rnacentral:rRNA from 1 species
AGCGAACGCUGGCGGCAGGCUUAACACAUGCAAGUCGAGCGGCCGUAGCAAUACGGCAGCGGCAGACGGGAGAGUAACACGUGGGAACGUACCCUUCAGUACGGAACAACCAAGGGAAACUUUGGCUAAUACCGUAUACGUCCGUAAGGAAAAGGAUUUAUCGCUGAAGGAUCGGCCCGCGUCCGAUUAGCUAGUUGGUGAGGUAACGGCUCACCAAGGCGACGAUCAGUAGCUGGUCUGAGAGGAUGAUCAGCCUCACUGGGACUGAGACACGGCCCAGACUCCUACGGGAGGCAGCAGUGGGGAAUAUUGGACAAUGGGCGCAAGCCUGAUCCAGCCAUGCCGCGUGGAUGAUGAAGGCCCUAGGGUUGUAAAGUCCUUUUAACGGGGAAGAUAAUGACGGUACCCGUAGAAUAAGCCCCGGCUAACUUCGUGCCAGCCGCCGCCGUAA